CCGAGUUGCUGUAGACCGUGGGCCGGGAGCAGUGGCAGCACUGGCAGGUGAUUGGGGCCCUUGGGAGCCAGCUCCACUCCCACCAUGCAGCACUGGAGCCCUGCCUGCCACCCAAGGCCAAGGAUUCCUGGCCAGCUGCAAGGCGACCAGAUGCCCCCUGGGGGACCUGUGACCUCUGCUGUGCCUGGUGGUUACCGUCCUGGGUCUAAGAGGUUUCUCCUGCCUUGGGAUAUCACCAUCACCCCAGAGUCAGCAGAAGGGAAGGGAAGAGAAGGGAAGGAAGAGGAAAGGUGGAGGAGGCAUCCCUUCUUACGUGUUUUUUUCUUUGGAGAGACAAAGUCUACCCCAUGGCCAGGGGUUCAUUCCUCCAGGAGGGGCAGGAGGCACAGGAAGAAGAGUAUGGGAGGAGCCACAUCUUUCCAAGAGGACAGAGGAUUCCUAGGAUCCCAGGUUCCUGGUCUGCCCCAGUACUCCCCACCCCCCUCCCGCCCAAAGAUCACAUGGACAAAGGCAACAAGUUCGUGUUAACCCAGUAACCACCUGCGGCACGUGAAGGUAUAUGUAAUGCAGAGCUGAAUGGGACAUAGAAUCUGUCCCCAAGGAGCUGAGAGCCAAAGCCUUGGCCACUUUGUCUGCUUGUGGCUCAUGUACCUGUGUCUUCGACUGAAAGUCACAAGAGAUUCUGGCAUGGGCUCUGCUGUGCACAGGGCACUCAGUAGCAUGCUUGGCACUUCAGCAUCGCUCCGUGAAUCUUUGUUGAAAGUAAAAGUUGUUUUUUUUUAAUCGGUACCGGGGGUCGAACUCAUGACUGCCUGCUUGCAAGGCAGGCGCUUAUGCUGCUGAGCUAAAUCCCCAGCCUCAAAAGUAAAAGUUUGAGAAAAGUGUUGCAAGAAAGGUUUCAUGUCUUUAUUCCUCAUCAUCAAAUUUCAGAGCCUGGAGCAUAGUGGUUGCUCCGACAACAUCAACUGAAAGAAAAAUUUAAAGAAUAAACAACAAAUGAGUGAGGGAGUGAGUGAAUAAAUGAAGCUUCUGGGAGCUGCAGGAAGAAUAAUUAGGUCUUGCUGGAGAAGGGGAUGUGAGGACAGAAAAGAAAGACCUGGUACUUGAAAGCUUCCUGCUGGGGGAUCUUCCGAAGGACUCUGUGAAGCCCUCUGAGGAGGUGAAAGAGCACCCCGUACAGCAAAAUCAAUUUUAAAAAUAUCUACAACGGUGCCUCAUGUGUGUCACUCGCCUGUGUUCCUGGCACUCUGGGAAACUGAGAUAGAAAGUUGGAAGUCUGAGCCCAGCCUGGGCAAUUUAGCAAUUUAGGGAGAUGUCUCACCAAAAAAAAAAAAAAAAAGAUAAAAAGGGGACUGGGGAUCUUCAGGUUCAUAAGCAUGAUGAUUGGGUGUUCAUGCUCUAUGCAUGACAUGUGCCUCCUUUGAAUCUUGUUACGACCUCGGCACAUUAGCCAUCUGACAUGAAAAAAAAGGGGGGGGGGACUGGGGGUGCACCUCUGUGAAGGCCCUCGGUUCAUCCCCCACUGCUGACCAGCAAUGAAUCUGACAGCGGAACCCAGUCUUCAGGACCCACUGCAGAUCUGACCCUUGUAGUUGGUGGCUUGUGGAAUUGUUCUCGCCGAGGUUUGGUGUCACCAGGAAAACCUGGGAUCCCUCACACUGUAGCUGACCUUGGUCCUCUGUCUCCACUGCCUUGCCACAAAUAAUGCUCUUCCCGCUUUCCUGAAGCUGAUCAGGCAGCAUGCUGUGCAUACGCUCAUCGCUAGGACGCUCAGAAAGUUAACCUGCCCAUAGCCUUUUUCAGAAAGCUACGGCGAGAUGUAUUCCAGUAAAAUGAGGAUUGAAGCCAUUUUGACUUUGAUCAUUGGGGUUUUCUCUCUUUUUCUGUCAGCCUGUAGAAUGUCUUUACUCUUAGCAUCCUGAAAGUUAAUGAUGCUGUACCUGAGUAUAUUUCUACUUUCAAACACUGUCCUGGGUGCUUUAUGUGCUCUUUCAACUUGGAAGUCAAGGAUACAUAUUUUAGAUUUAAGGAAAUUUUCUUGAAUUCUUUCUUCCUUUUUUUCCCCCGAAACAGGGUCUCACUAUGUAGCCCAAGCUGGUCUUGAAUUCACAGCAAUCCUCCUGCCUCAGUGUCCCUAAUGACAGACACACACUGCUGUGGCUCUCGCUCCCUGCUUUUAGUUUGAACGUUACCUCUUCAGAGGAUCCCUGACCUAUAGUGUAAAAGAGUUCCCAGACCCAAGUUGUAGCUCCUGCUGCCUGGCCCUUAUUCCCAUGAUGCUUUCCAGUGUCAGUGGUAGCCUUGGUCUCCUUGUCUGUUCUGCCCACUGCUUUUAUCCUUGGAGCCUAGAAAACCUGGCAUAUGUAUAGCUUUCUUCAUUUGUUGAUAAAGACAAGAUUUUUCAGAAAAUACUCUGGAGCAAACGUUUUAUCAUCAGAUUCUGUAGAUCUGUGACUGGUUAGAAAAAUGUAGUCAUUGAUGACGCCCAUUUAGACUGAUAACCAGGGCCCUGUCUUUCAGUUUAUCUUGUCCGCAGCCCCAAUCCCAGCUCUUUACAAAGAUCUGGGCAGUCCAGAGUUUAGCCCUGCAGGUCCCAG
ensembl:lincRNA